rnacentral:misc_RNA from 1 species
GGCCGGGCGCGGUAGCUCACGCCUGUAAUCCUAGCACUUUGGGAGGCCGAGGCGGGUGGAUCGCGAGGUCAGGAGUUCAAGACCAGCCUGGCCAAUAUGGUGAAACCCCGUCUCUACU